rnacentral:rRNA from 1 species
GAUGAACGCUGGCGGCGUGCUUAACACAUGCAAGUCGAACGAUGAAGCCCAGCUUGCUGGGUGGAUUAGUGGCGAACGGGUGAGUAACACGUGAGUAACCUGCCCUUAACUCUGGGAUAAGCCGGGGAAACUGGGUCUAAUACCGGAUAGGAGCGUCCACCGCAUGGUGGGUGUUGGAAAGAUUUAUCGGUUUUGGAUGGACUCGCGGCCUAUCAGCUUGUUGGUGAGGUAAUGGCUCACCAAGGCGACGACGGGUAGCCGGCCUGAGAGGGUGACCGGCCACACUGGGACUGAGACACGGCCCAGACUCCUACGGGAGGCAGCAGUGGGGAAUAGUGCACAAUGGGCGCAAGCCUGAUGCAGCGACGCCGCGUGAGGGAUGACGGCCUUCGGGUUGUAAACCUCUUUCAGUAGGGAAGAAGCGAAAGUGACGGUACCUGCAGAAGAAGCACCGGCUAACUACGUG